UACAGAGGCCUCGAGCGUUGUUCGGAAUUACUGGGCGUAAAGGGAAUGUAGGCGGUGACGUAAGUCAGAUGUGAAAGCCCUGGGCUUAACCCGGGAAGUGCAUUUGAUACUGCGUUGCUGGAGUGCGAAAGAGGAAAGCGGAAUUCCAAGUGUAGGGGUGAAAUCCGUAGAUAUUUGGAGGAAUACCGAUGGCGAAGGCAGCUUUCUGGUUCGUAACUGACGCUGAGAUUCGAAAGCGUGGGUAGCAAACAGG
rnacentral:rRNA from 1 species